rnacentral:lncRNA from 1 species
GGAGUGGCGGGGGGCGGGGGGAGAGCCGAGGGGCCGGAGGGCCGGGGGCGGCUCACCCGGCGGCCCCCGGUCUGAGGAUACAGGGGCCGGCCAUCUAGCCUGGGGAGGGUCUGGACCCCCCGAGCGGGCGGCGAGGAGGUGCUUUGCCUCUGCCGGCGUUCACUGGGUCAGGGCCAGUUCAGCGCCCUGGCAGGGAAGGGGUCGCUGGGCGGGCCGGCCCCUCCUCUCGUUCUCUCCAGGGGAUGU